AAAUGCGAUAACUAGUGUGAAUUGCAGAAUUCCGUGAAUCAUCGAGUCUUUGAACGCACAUUGCGCCCCCUGGUAUUCCGGGGGGCAUGCCUGUCCGAGCGUCAUU
rnacentral:rRNA from 1 species